GCACUUGUGGCCCAAUGGUCAAGGCGUCCGCUUCCUAUGUAUAUUGCUUACAUAAUAGCGGAAGAUUGUGGGUUCGAGUCCCACCUGGUGUA
rfam:Gloeophyllum trabeum ATCC 11539 unplaced genomic scaffold GLOTRscaffold_00014, whole genome shotgun sequence.